AGAGUGCAGACGCUCCCCUGCCCAGCUACGGGCUGGGUGGGGGAGGGGAAGCCACGCGGCCUUGUCCAGAGACUGCAUUUUAGGGGGAUGCAGUGGUGACCCAGGGAGACCUGUUUCAGCUUCGAACAGCACAAGAAUGGCGAGAAACGAAGAAAGCUGAAGAGGGAAUGGUGAUACCCUCUGUCUUCAGGAAGAAGAUGAGUCCUGUUUUUGGACCCCUCGGCCCCAGGGGAAAAUGGGGGGGACUGUAGUCCCAGGAUGAGAAACUGAACUGUUGUAUUUUUGGGUCCGUGGCAAAGCAUCCUUAAAGGAGCCCUAUGAGCAGUCUGUCCAUGCACGGUGGUGAGAGCACUGUGACAUGGAAUGGAGAGUGUCACACUGGCAGAUUUUUUUUUUCCGGGCGGUUGCCAUGUGUGACAGGGAAACACAGGGGGGCAGCUGUGUUUCCUGGGGGGUCUGUGGUGCAAGAGAGACUUCUCUCUCCCUUGAUAGUUUAAGUAUAGAUUACCUGAAGGGUGGUAAUUUGAUCAAGAAUCCCGGGUGAUGUUUCAUGGCUGGGUGUUUUUGGAAUUGGGAGGAGGAGGGGUGGUUUAAAAGGUCUUCAUCCUGGAUUUAGUUUAUGUGUUUUCUGUAUUAGUAGUAGUUUAAUAAAGUUUUUUUCCUUUGUUAUUAA